CCGGUAAUAAACCGGAGGAAGUGGGGAUGACGUCAAAUCAUCAUGCCCCUUAUGACCUGGGCUACACACGUGCUACAAUGGGCGGUACAAAGGGUCGCGAACCCGCGAGGAGGAGCCAAUCCCAAAAAGCCGCUCUCAGUUCGGAUUGCAGGCUGCAACUCGCCUGCAUGAAGCCGGAAUCGCUAGUAAUCGCGGAUCAGCAUGCCGCGGUGAAUACGUUCCCGGGCCUU
rnacentral:rRNA from 1 species